AACGACCGGUCGGACCCGUAUGCCUCACGGCCCGCGAGCCCGGCCCAUAAGUGGAGGCUUUCGAACUCCCACCUGGCCGCCCUCAGGGUGGCGGGUCACCGGUCAGGCGGCGUCGUCCCCGUGACGGCGGCCCGCCCGAAAGCGCGCCCCGCGAUCCUCGCGGCGGUGCUCCGGUAGUUCGAGGAGCCCCGCCUGUGAUCGUCCGGGGCGUUUUUG
rnacentral:ncRNA from 1 species